UUGUUCCUAUUCUUUUCACUCAGGUACUUUCCGUUUGCAAACACCUAAUUCUUUUACCUUCAUGGAACCCUACGAGAAUACUCUGAUCCUCAGUUACAAGCCAAGAACCUAUUAGUGGAGGUAAGAAGAAUAAAAAAGAAAAGAAUGAAAAAAUAAAAUAAUGAAUAAAAGAAAAGAAUGAGAAAAUAUAGAGAAAGACAAAAAAAAGCAAUCGACCAUACAUAACAUAUUGCAUACUUCAUGCAUACCCUUACAAA
rnacentral:lncRNA from 1 species